rnacentral:rRNA from 1 species
UAAAUAGUACUAUUAGCGUUUGCUGAUUAGUUACUUCUUAGAGGGACUAUCGGUUUCAAGCCGAUGGAAGUUUGAGGCAAUAACAGGUCUGUGAUGCCCUUAGACGUUCUGGGCCGCACGCGCGCUACACUGACGGAGCCAACGAGUACUAUCCUUGGCCGAAAGGUCCG